GACGAACGCUGGCGGCGUGCUUAACACAUGCAAGUCGAACGGAAAGGCCUCUUUCGGGGGGUACUCGAGUGGCGAACGGGUGAGUAACACGUGAGUAACCUGCCCUUGACUUUGGGAUAACUUCAGGAAACUGGGGCUAAUACCGGAUAGGAGCUCCUGCUGCAUGGUGGGGGUUGGAAAGUUUCGGCGGUUGGGGAUGGACUCGCGGCUUAUCAGCUUGUUGGUGGGGUAGUGGCUUGCCAAGGCUUUGACGGGUAGCCGGCCUGAGAGGGUGACCGGCCACAUUGGGACUGAGAUACGGCCCAGACUCCUACGGGAGGCAGCAGUGGGGAAUAUUGCACAAUGGGUGGAAGCCGGAUGCAGCAACGCCGUGUGCGGGAGGACGGCCUUCGGGUUGGAAACCGCUUUCGCUCAUGACGAAGCUUUGUGUGACGGUAGUGGGUAAAGAAGCACCGGCUAACUACGUG
rnacentral:rRNA from 1 species